CCUACGGGUGGCAGCAGUGAGGAAUAUUGGUCAAUGGGAGAGAUCCUGAACCAGCCAAGUCGCGUGAGGGAAGACGGCCCUAUGGGUUGUAAACCUCUUUUGUCGGAGAACAAAACCCGGGACGUGUCCCGUUCUGCGUGUACCCGAAGAAAAAGCAUCGGCUAACUCCGUGCCAGCAGCCGCGGUAAUACGGAGGAUGCGAGCGUUAUCCGGAUUUAUUGGGUUUAAAGGGUGCGUAGACGGUAUGUUAAGUCAGCGGUAAAAUUGCGGGGCUCAACCCCGUCGAGCCGUUGAAACUGGCAGUCUUGAGUUGGCGAGAAGUACGCGGAAUGCGUGGUGUAGCGGUGAAAUGCAUAGAUAUCGCGCAGAACUCCGAUUGCGAAGGCAGCGUACCGGCGCGAGACUGACGCUGAUGCACGAAAGUGUGGGUAUCGAACAGGAUUAGAUACCCUUGUAGUC
rnacentral:rRNA from 1 species